rnacentral:rRNA from 1 species
CCUACGGGGGGCUGCAGUGGGGGAUAUUGCACAAUGGGGGAAACCCUGAUGCAGCGACGCCGCGUGUGGGAAGACGGUCCUCUGGAUUGUAAACCACUGUCCCCAGGGACGAAGAUGACGGUACCUGGGGAGGAAGCUCCGGCUAACUACGUGCCAGAAGCCGCGGUAAUACGUAGGGAGCGAGCUUUGUCCGGAAUUACGGGUUGAAAAGGGAGCGUAGGCGGGGAUGAGAGUUGGGUGUCAAAACUACCGGCUAAACUGGUAGUCGCACUCAAAACUGCAGCUCUUGAGUGAAGUAGAGGCAGGCGGAAUGCCUAGUGUAGCGGUGAAAUGCAUAGAUAUUAGGAGGAACACCAGUGGCGAAGGCGGCCUGCUGAGCUUUUACUGACGCUGAGGCUCGAAAGUGUGGGGAGCAAACAGGAUUAGAUACCCGAGUAGUC